rnacentral:misc_RNA from 1 species
GCAUAUUUUAAAAAAAUUAAGAAGGUUUGACAAGCUCAUUAGACAAGGUGAAAAGAUCACGUUCUGAGAUUCAUAGGUUAAUCCAAGACAACAUUUAAAGCAAACAAAACAUACAAAGAAAAAAUGAGCAUAGCAUAAAGAUUGGUCUCUUUCUUCUCAGGCUGGAAGAGGAAGGGGCAGGGGGUGGGAAUAGAGUGUGGAUUCAUAGAGUCAAAGUGAAAUAGACUUUAUUAUUGUCAAUGAUUACUCUGUAUCCUCAAUUUAACCUGAGCACCUUAUUU